CCCGGUACGCCGGGACGAAAUGUGACCGCUCGGGGCUCCCCGACGCGGUUGAAUCGCAAG
rfam:Halobaculum gomorrense strain DSM 9297 genome assembly, contig: Ga0131215_101